GCACUGGGAGAGUGUUAAGGGACCAGUAGUACCUGCUAGUGUACAGUGGCCUGUGGAGAGAUGUUAUCAUGCUAUUUCUAGUAUCAUCAGUGACUCACCUACACUAGUAUUGAUAGGUGGAGAGUGUAAAGAUGGACUAGUAAAUGAUAGUUGGUUACUGAAUACUAGUCAGUACCAGUGGAGUAAAAUUGUUCUACCUGAAUCUGUUACUGGUAGACAGCUUCAUUCCUUAUCAUCAAUAAUGAUGAGUCCAGACUGUGUGUGGUUGGUGGUAGUGGGUGGAUAUGGAACGGUUGAAUGGGAAAAUGUAGGAAGAGAAUAUAAGCUACCAUUUUCUAAACGAAUUACUGAUCCUAUUAUCACAAUGUUAUUGGAACUAGUUUUAAGAGAAGGUCAAUGGAGAGCAAGUGAAGUACUAGAUUCUA